CUCUUUUCCCCUCCGCUCCUGCUCCAGUGGCACAAUGUGAUCCACCGGCAAGGAGGGACGCCAAUAAGGCGUCCGAUAAGAUAAGUCUUAUAAAAUAUAUAGAUUAUGAUAGUUAAGACUGAGCUAACAGAUGAGAAUCCUAGUCAUUGGCCAAGCAGCUUUAAACCUAAUACAAGUUUCUGUGUAUUCAUUUGGGUCUAACUCGGGCGGGCAGCUUGCGUAAAGCGUACAUGUGGCGAUGGGGCUCGGUGGCUUUUGGCAGAAAGAUUUAUCGUAACAUUUGCCUCCUGAGAAAUCUCACUAACUCCUGCUUGUUUCCUAACAGCCAUGGGAACUUUCAGCUAUGUGUUUUGGUAUGUUAUCACUGUGUACUGACACAGACCCCUCUACAUGUUAAGCAGUUGCACGAUCCCUGAGUUACAACCCCAGCCCAUUUUUAGAGUCUUUUAAUAGCAGAGGUGUUUGUUUCUUUAUUCAUGUACUUACUUAUUUUUGGACAGAAUCUUGCUACUAGCCCGGGCGACCGCCAAACUCACUAUCCUCCUGCCUCCGCUUCCAAUAUGCAGCACUCAAAGGCCAGAUUUAGAAAACAAAAUACUUGAAAGAAAGUAUGCAUGCAAAUGUAUAUUUGUGACAUCUGACGAGAGCCUGCGGACCGACACCAUCCCCAUUUGUGCCUGUGCCAGGCACCACUAGCUGAUGACGGCAUACUUUCCUCUGUGUUUUCCUAUGGCCUCAGGACCUCUUUUUGACAUAAAAGGAAUAAUCUGGAACCUAGUCCGUACAUUGCUCGUCCAAGAAGUCACAGAUACUAGGUGGGGAGGCUGUGUAUGAUUUUAUGGGGUGGGGACCAAAUAAGCUAUAUUUGAUUACUGUUACACAAACGAAUCCUGGUAUGAUAAGAACCAGAGAAGUUGAACAGGCUCUGGCAGGGAUUGUGGCAAAUGGCUAGCCAUGGUCUGAAGGAUGCUCCCCGGAGACAAGAGGACCAGCUGAGGCAUGCGGGCUAUCUUCUGAAGUUACUGUGCACAGGGUACCCUCCCCUCCAACUUCAAACGCCCAGAGAGAAACGAAACAGAGGCCCCUGCUUUGGACAGCGUAGGCACCUCAUGGAGAUGGCAGACUACUAUUCCAUGCUCCUUGGUCUAGGUCGGACAAAGAAGAGGCUGCUGGGGAAGGACAGAGGACAUGUGUUCCGUCCCUUCUGUGGCACUGUGCCCAAGUUCCGAUGUGCCUUAGAUGCAGUGUGAUGACUUGACCUGAGGAAGACAAUUCAGGUCAGUGUUUUCUCAGCCACUCUGCAGUCUUGGGGUCACCCAGGGUUUCCUUGAAGGAAGGGGGCACCAUGAUAUGUGUUCAUCUUGAAUUUUAAAAUUAUCUGCUGUUUAUAAACAACACAGCCAACCACUGUGAAGGCUGCUGCUCUGGCAAGUGUCAAGUAGGAACCUGGAGUGUGAGCUCUGUUACCCUGGAGUGUGAACUCUGUUUCCCCUGGAGUGUGAGCUCUGUUCCCCUGGAGUGUGAGCUCUGUUUCCCCUGGAGUGUGAGCUCUGUUCAUCUGGAGUGUGAGCUCUGUUCCCCUGGAGUGUGAGCUUUGUUCCCCUGGAGUGUGAGCUCUGUUCCCCUGGACUGGGAGCUCUGUUCAUCUGGAGUGUGAGCUCUGUUCCCCUGGAGUGUGAGCUUUGUUCCCCUGGAGUGUGAGCUUUGCUUUUUUCAAAUGAAUGUUCUUCAUUAAAUUUCCCUUACAACAGGGCCAGAGAUACAUACUUUGCUCACAAAAGAGACUCUUUAUCCUGAUCUUCAGACAUGUGUUUAAAGAGCAAGAGAGAUUCUAAAGUUUACAAAAGAAAGGGAAACAAUAGCAUUCAGAAAAAUGCCAACAAGUUCUAGGAAGAACUAGAAAAAAAAAAACAGUCCCUGGAAUAUGUGGGAUUAAAGGACAUUUAUAAUUUAUGGGAGAAAAAGAGGUCUAUAAUUUGAUACUUUCAGAAUCUCCUUACCAAGAUAAGGCAUCUAGAAUAAAAUAUGCACUAAAUGCAAACUAUUUGAGCCUACGUACUCCACUACCAGCUACAAAAAUCUUUGGGAAUUUUUCAAGGUGGAUAAUGUUCCAGGUUGGAUUGUAUCCUCCCCAGCGUAGUCUUCACCCCCAUGAAUGUAACCUUAUCUAGAAACAGAACCUUUGCAGACUCGACCGAGUUAAGAUGGCUUUGUGGGCUGUUAUCAAUUACGACUGUGCUCUUCCAAAGGGGGAAUUCGGUCAGAGGAACAGAAGCAUACAGAAGAGACGAUGCUCAGACAUAAACAGAAGGCUAGAAUGGUGGCUCAGGACUUCAGGGCACUUGCUACGGCAUCAUGAGGACCGGAGUUUUGACGAAGCAUCUUUGUAAACACCCUGGGUGCUCAUAACACCAGUUUCAAGAGGUGGACAUAGGAUAGCUGGGUUUACUGGUUGCCAGCAGAGCUGAGGACAAAAAUGUGCACCCCAAGUUCAAGAAUAGACCCUUCCUCCAAAGAACCGGAAGGGGGUGGUAGAAAAGAUGCCCAGUGGCUCUUCUGGCCUCCAGGCUCAUGCACAAUGUGCCUAUGCAAUGUGCAUGUAUGAACAUAUGCAAAAAUGGACAAAUGGAAGAAAUUAAUAAGAUAGGCAUGGGUGGAAUACCAUCUAAAAGCCCAAAGCCAGGGUGCACUCAGGGUUAUCAGAAGCCAGCAAAGAAACAUAGCACAGAUUCUCCCUUCAUCUCUGGAAGAAAACAAGUGCUGGCACCUGAUUCUGGAAGUCUUGCCUCCAGCUCUACAGGGGGAUACAUUUCUGAUUUUUUAAGCUACCUAGCUCAUGGUUCUUUGUGAUGGCUGUGCUAGGACUACAUGCAGAUUCUCUUCUUAAUAUGUAUCUUUGAGGUUGCAAUUUGGUCACCAUGUCUCCUUGGCACUCCAAGGAGAACAGCAGCUUUGCCCAGACUGCCUUUGUACCCGACCACCUGGUCCACUCCAUGUGGCCAUCUAUGUGAGGCCAGUUCCAAAUUUUGCCAGACCAAAGCAACCAGGACGGAGAAUCUGUUAUAAACACUCACACAGUCCAUUAUGAAGCCAAGUACAUUUUGCUUUGAACAUAAAUCAAAGUAGAAUGAAGGGGAACCUGAUCAUCAGAAAAGAUUCAGAGUUCAGCGAUGUCUUUUGGCCAAAUAGCCCUGUAGCCUAGUUAAUAAUUUGGUCAAAAGAAAAAAAAAAAAGAAAAAAAAAAAACCACCACAGGGGAAUUACAAACAGCUGUCACGGUCAUUUACUGGUGGUUCCAGAGCACAGAAAGGCUUCUGCUCCUUUGAACAUGGGGCAGUUCAUCGGUCCCCUGUCAGACAGUGUAAACAACAGUUAGCAGUUACCCCAACGAUCCUUGGAAGUUGUGUUUAUAAACACCAUCUGUGCAGCUUGUGGUCUCUCCGCUCCCAGUAAGUAUUUAUAAUGUGUCAGAGCUAUCAGAAAAAAUAUACAUACACCUGGAGCAACCUGUGGAGAUUCGACCAAACUCUGCCUGUUGCACAAUAAAUGAUUACAACCGGUGAAAUUGGAGAAAACGUCACACAGAAGGACAUGAGUCUCCAGUAAAGUGAGUAGAUAAACUUGGUGGAUCAACCCUCCAGCAAAGGCCUCCUGAGCUGUUUCCACAGGAAAACUAGGGCAGAGAGAAUCACAAAAGUCUUGGCUUCCAUCCACCCACUGGGCCUGCUAACACAGGCCCGGCUUCCACAACACUGGAUCUCAUUGGGCUUCAGAAGACAUACCUGCAUUAAAACUGAGUAGGCAGGAGAGGAGGCACUGGGGGUGGGAAGAAACUGGGACCCAGAAGGAGGUGGGCACUGUGAUGGUGUCUUCCUUCUUGUGGCUGGGAAAUACCUGGAUGUGUGAUCAUUAUCUAUCUGCUACCUUCAUCUGGGAUUUCAAAUGUUUUGUACUAUAGAGCUCUCAGGGGGCUCUUGAAGCAGCUUGUGUUAAGCCAGAAUGUCCACCCCUCACAAAAAAACAAAAAACAAAAAAACAAACAAAAAAAAAAACAAUGUGGUCUUUGCUAUAGAAUCCUCAACUACUUUUGUGCUGUGGGUCAUUUUUACAGAGCCUGUGACUCAUAUUCCCAGUAAUAUUUUAUAAUAUGUGUGACAUGCAUAAUUACAAAUAAACCAGUAUGUUGAAAUACCAUAAUAAUAUUUUAUAUUAUAAUAAUAAUAUUUUACAGGAUAUAUUAUGUAUAAUUACAGACAGCACUAGCUAUGUUGAAAUAUCACUAUUACAUCCAUUGUUUAAUGGUAAUAAACUGACAUAAUG
ensembl:lincRNA